rnacentral:rRNA from 1 species
AGGGCGCACGGUGAAUGCCUUGGCACUGGAAGCCGAUGAAGGACGCGACUAACCGCGAAAGUCUUCGGGGAGCCGUAAGUAGGCUUUGAUCCGGAGGUCUCCGAAUGGGGGAACCCAGCAUGUGCAGACAUGCUAUCCUUAAGUGAAUACAUAGCUUAAGGAGGGAACACGCAGUGAACUGAAACAUCUAAGUAGCUGCAGGAAGAGAAAGAAAUAUCGAUUUCCCAAGUAGCGGCGAGCGAACAGGAAAGAGCCCAAACCGGCAGAUUUAUCUGCCGGGGUUGUAGGACUGAGACAUGGCACUUCAGAGGAUAGCAGAAGCGUUUGGGAAAGCGCGCCAGAGAGGGUGAGAGCCCCGUAAGCGAAAUCCAAAGAAGGCCUAUCAGUAUCCUGAGUAGGGCGGGACACGUGAAAUCCCGUUUGAAUCCGCGAGGACCAUCUCGCAAGGCUAAAUACUAACCAGUGACCGAUAGUGAACCAGUACCGUGAGGGAAAGGUGAAAAGAGCCCCGGGAGGGGAGUGAAAGAGUACCUGAAAGCGUGUGCGUACUAGUAGUCAGAGAACGUUAACGGGUCAUGGCGUGCCUUUUGUAGAAUGAACCGGCGAGUUGCGUUAGUCAGCAAGGUUAAGUCAGAAAAGACGGAGCCGUAGCGAAAGCGAGUCUGAAGAGGGCGAGCAGUUGGCUGACGCAGACCCGAAACCAAGUGACCUACCCAUGACCAGGUUGAAGGCGCGGUAAAACGCGCUGGAGGACCGAACCCACGUAAGUUGAAAAUUGCGGGGAUGAGUUGUGGGUAGCGGUGAAAUUCCAAACGAACUUGGAGAUAGCUGGUUCUCUCCGAAAUAGCUUUAGGGCUAGCCUCGCAAAGAGGAUGCUGGAGGUAGAGCUCUGUUUGGACUAGGGGCCCGUCAAGGGUUACUGAAUUCAGAUAAACUGCGAAUUCCAGACAUUUAUGUGCGGGAGUCAGACUGCGAGUGAUAAGAUCCGUAGUCGAAAGGGAAACAGCCCAGAUCACCAGUUAAGGUCCCAAAAUUCAUGCUAAGUGGAAAAGGAUGUGGAGUUGCGCAGACAACUAGGACGUUGGCUCAGAAGCAGCCAUCAUUCAAAGAGUGCGUAAUAGCUCACUAGUCGAGUGACGCCGCGCCGAAAAUUUACCGGGGCUAAGCAUGAUACCGAAACUGUGGAUGUGCAUUUAUGCACGUGGUAGGAGAGCGUUCUAGCGGCGGUGAAGCAUGACCGAGAGGACAUGUGGAGCUUCUAGAAGUGAGAAUGCCGGUAUGAGUAACGAAAGACAGGUGAGAAUCCUGUCCGCCGCAAGACUAAGGUUUCCUGGGGCAGGCUCGUCCGCCCAGGGUAAGUCGGGACCUAAGGCGAGGCCGAGAGGCGUAGUCGAUGGACAACAGGUUGAAAUUCCUGUACUGCACCGAAUCGUUAUGAGCGAUGGAGGGACGCAGGAGGCUAGCAGCGCGUGGUGCUGGAUACCACGUUCAAGCGUCAAGUCUGAGAGCGAGUCAAAUGCUUGCUCUCAUAAGGACAAGGCGUGAUGAGGAGCGAAAUUAAAGUAGCGAAGGCUGCGACGUCACACUGCCGAGAAAAGCUUCUAGCCAGAGACGGUGCACCCGUACCGCAAACCGACACAGGUAGUCGAGGAGAGUAUCCUCAGGUGAGCGAGAGAACUCUCGUUAAGGAACUCGGCAAAAUGGCCCCGUAACUUCGGGAGAAGGGGCGCUGGUCGCAAGAUCAGCCGCAGUGAAAAGGCCCAAGCAACUGUUUAUCAAAAACACAGGCAUCUGCAAAAUCGUAAGAUGAAGUAUAGGUGCUGACACCUGCCCGGUGCUGGAAGGUUAAGAGGAGAGCUUAGCGCAAGCGAAGGUUUGAAUUGAAGCCCCAGUAAACGGCGGCCGUAACUAUAACGGUCCUAAGGUAGCGAAAUUCCUUGUCGGGUAAGUUCCGACCUGCACGAAAGGUGUAAUGAUUUGGGCACUGUCUCAACGAGAGACUCGGUGAAAUUAUAAUACCCGUGAAGAUGCGGGUUACCCGCGACAGGACGGAAAGACCCCAUGGAGCUUUACUGCAGUUUAAUAUUGGGUAUCUGUCAAGCAUGUACAGGAUAGGUAGGAGCCGGAGAAGAUAGGACGCCAGUCUUAUCUGAGGCGCUGUUGGGAUACUACCCUUGCUUGACGGAUGCUCUAACUCAGGCCU